rnacentral:rRNA from 1 species
AACAUUAUUUAGCAUCAACAAAUAGAAGGUAGGGUAAGGUAAGUAAAACAAUAUUAAAUAAAAGGUUUAGUAGAAGGUAUCAAUUAAAUCGUUAGUGCAGUAAUAUCAGUACCGUGAGGGAAGUUUGAAAUAAUUGAAAAUAAGGUUUAAUAGGGAAGUAGACUAAGUGUCGUACCUUUUGUAUCAGGGUUUAUUAAAUAAAAAUGUUGAAACAAUAAUCUCGAUAUAAGGAGAGCUAAUCCAAUAAUUAAACUAAGGUUGUAGACUUAUGUAGAAUAUUGAUUUAGUGAUGAAAUGUUAACCGAUCCUUGGGGUUUCUAGUUCUUUAAGAAAUGAAUUUAAUUCAGAAGUUGUUAGAAACAAAGAUAUUUAAUCUAGGUUUUAUGAAAGCUUUAAUGGUUUGGGGGAUAAGCUUCGAAUCAUAAUUAAAACUUAACUAAGGGGGAAAUAAGUAGGCUUGAAAGUAGCCAACAAUUAAGGAUGUUAUAGUUUAUUUCCUGGGGUGUUAAUUUUAUUUAGUUUAAUUUAAGUAUUAAAGAAUUAUUUAGAACUUAUUUGAAUAAGGUAUAAUGAUAUAAUAAUUACAGGAGUUACAAGCGAGGUAAAGUUUUAGUAAGGAACUCGGCAAAUAUAAUGCUCGCCUGUUUAUCAAAAACAUCGCCUUUUGAAAGUAUAGAAGGUCUAGCCUGCCCACUGAGUAGUUAAAGGGCCGCGGUAUUUUGACCGUGCAAAGGUAGCAUAGUCAUUAGUCUUCUAAUUAAAGGCUGGAAUGAAUGGUUGGACGGGGUAUUAGCUGUCUCACUAAAAUAAGCUGUAAUUUAACUUUUUAGUCAAAAGGCUGAAAUAUAAUUGGAGGACGAGAAGACCCUAUAGAUCUUGACAUUAUAUUUGUUUAAGUUGUUUGGGUGGGUUAUAGUUUUAUAAAGUAAAUGUUUCGUUGGGGUGACGGGAAGAUGAAAUAAACUCUUUCUAAUUUGUACCAUAGCUGCAUGAAUAAUUGAUCCGUAGUUAACGAUUAUAAGACUAAGUUACCUUAGGGAUAACAGCGUAAUCUUUUUUGAGAGUUCUAAUCGACAAAAAGGGUUGCGACCUCGAUGUUGGACUAAGGGUUAUUCUUGGGUGUAGCAGCUCAAGGUUUAGGUCUGUUCGACCUUUGAAUCCUUACAUGAUCUGAGUUCAGACCGGCGUAAGCCAGGUCGGUUUCUAUCCUCAAUUAAGUUAAUAUUUUAGUACGAAAGGACCAAAUAUUAAAGAUAAAUCUUUAGUGAAUGAAUUCCAUUAAUA